UUUCCUCACAACUCUUUUUUUCAUGGCCUUUCCUCACAACUCCUAAGCGGUAAUCAAAGAUAAUAACCUGAAUUAUUUCUGGCGUACCUGUAGACUACACACACGUACAUGCUAGCUUGACUGAGCCUAGCACAUCCGAGUGGGUCCUCUCGUGCGUGUUUUGCUGAGUGGAUCGAUACGUGUGUCUCCCUGUGGAAUUGUCCAAACAGCGUGUGCUUCUGUACAUGCACAGAUUCGGUCGUCUUCUCCUCGCAAAACCAAUUAACUGGAAAGUAAUCGGGCUAGCCUCACAUGUCUACAUCGCCGGAAAGCACCUGGUUGCAUCGUCGAUGUUGGGUCCGCUCCAACAUUGAAUUACGGAUUUGGUAUUGCACACCUCCGUACCGGCAACAUUGGUAAUUGACAACCAAAUUGGUGUAUAUGAUCGAGCUUGUGAGGCAUGCUUGGUUGUACACCUAAAGAGACAAUGAAAGGAAAAUUCAUUGAUAACAGCAGACUUAGCCUCAAUUUUCCUUUAUUGAUGGAUGGCCUGGAGAGGAUGCACAUGAGGCAUGACCAUAACAAAACUGCAUAGAUAAAUAAUUCAUAUGCAAUUAGUGUGGUAGAAAGAAUCUGAUCGAGAUGAGGAAAAUAAUUUUGAUGCAAUAAGAUCAUCGGGCACACCUGAUCAAUGCCCCAACCUGCUUGCUUGUGCUUGAGAGACAUAAUAGACUUUUUUUCUAUGGGAGAAACGACGAUGGACUCAAUGGGAUAAAAGAGAGGUUUGGGUCGUUGAUUUUCAUGGGUAGACGUAGA
rnacentral:lncRNA from 1 species